GGAAUAUUGGACAAUGGGGGCAACCCUGAUCCAGCCAUGCCGCGUGCGUGAAGAAGGCCUUAGGGUUGUAAAGCGCUUUCACUGGUGAAGAUGGUGACGGUAGCCAGAGAAGAAGCCCCGGCUAACUCCGUGCCAGCAGCCGCGGUAAUACGGAGGGGGCAAGCGUUGUCCGGAAGUACGGGGCGUAAAGGGCGCGUAGGCGGAACAUCAAGUUAGGGGUGAAAGGCCCGGGCUCAACCUGGGAACGGCCUCUAAAACUGAUGAUCUUGAGUCCGGAAGAGGAUGGCGGAAUGCCCAGUGUAGAGGUGAAAUUCGUAGAUAUUGGGAAGAACACCGGUGGCGAAGGCGGCCAUCUGGUCCGGAACUGACGCUGAGGCGCGAAAGCGUGGGGAGCAAAC
rnacentral:rRNA from 1 species